AUGAACGCUAGCUCCAGGCUUAACACAUGCAAGUCGCGGGGCAGCAUGGGGGUUGCUUGCAAUCCCCGAUGGCGACCGGCGCACGGGUGAGUAACGCGUAUCCAACCUGCCCUUCACCACGGGAUAACCCGGCGAAAGUCGGACUAAUACCGUAUGUUGUCCAUUGACGGCAUCCGAUUUGGACGAAAGGCUUGGCGGUGAGGGAUGGGGAUGCGUCCGAUUAGCCAGACGGCGGGGUAACGGCCCACCGUGGCUACGAUCGGUAGGGGUUCUGAGAGGAAGGUCCCCCACACUGGAACUGAGACACGGUCCAGACUCCUACGGGAGGCAGCAGUGAGGAAUAUUGGUCAAUGGGCGUAAGCCUGAACCAGCCAAGUAGCGUGCAGGAUGACGGCCCUAUGGGUUGUAAACUGCUUUUAUGCGGGGAUAAAGUGGCCCACGUGUGGGCUUUUGCAGGUACCGCAUGAAUAAGGACCGGCUAAUUCCGUG
rnacentral:rRNA from 1 species